AUUGAACGCUGGCGGCAGGCUUAACACAUACAAGUCGAGCGGGGUGAUGGUGCUUGCACUAUCACUUAGCGGCGGACGGGUGAGUAAUGCUUAGGAAUCUGCCUAUUAGUGGGGGACAACAUCUCGAAAGGGAUGCUAAUACCGCAUACGUCCUACGGGAGAAAGCAGGGGAUCACUUGUGACCUUGCGCUAAUAGAUGAGCCUAAGUCGGAUUAGCUAGUGGGUGGGGUAAAGGCCUACCAAGGCGACGAUCUGUAGCGGGUCUGAGAGGAUGAUCCGCCAAACUGGGACUGAGACACGGCCCAGACUCCUACGGGAGGCAGCAGUGGGGAAUAUUGGACAAUGGGGGGAACCCUGAUCCAGCCAUGCCGCGUGUGUGAAGAAGGCCUUAUGGUUGUAAAGCACUUUAAGCGAGGAGGAGGCUCUUUUGGUUAAUACCCAAGAUGAGUGGACGUUACUCGCAGAAUAAGCACCGGCUAACUCUGUGCCAGCCGCCGCCGUAA
rnacentral:rRNA from 1 species